ACCACCAGAUUUCGGGCAAGAUAUCUGUGGUAUAUGUGAUGGUAAAAAUGAAUGUGUUGGUUGUGAUGGUGUUCCAAAUAGCGGCUGGAUUCUAGAUAACUGUGGAGAAUGUCGUCCUACAGAAUAUGAUAUCGAUUGCUUCACGAUUGAUAUACUACCACCAAAAUCCUUGGAUGUCAACCAAAAGUAUGAAUACAUGAGCAUCAUAGUAAGAGGAAAAUAUAUACCACUUACGUCAGUUGUCAACUGUGAUCUUGUACCGAAAUUUAAUAUAUCAAGCAAGGUAAAAACACCAAAACUGGAAAACCUUAUCGUAUCACAAGUACUGUAUAAAGCUAUUAUGCACAGGAUUUUCUUAACAUGGAAGAUGGAACCUGACUGUACACUUGGGGCAUAUUCACUUCGAUGUGUUUUA